GCCCAGCCGUAAACUUUUACUUACAUACAAUCGCCAGGGAACUACGAGCCAAGCUUAAAACCCAAAGGACUUGACGGUACCCCAUAUCCCCCUAGAGGAGCCUGUCCUGUAAUCGAUAAUCCACGUUUAACCUCACCACUUAUAGCUAUCAGCCUGUAUACCUCCGUCGUCAGCUUACCACGUGAGCGUCAAUUAGUGAGCCUAAUGUUACUUCACCAACACGUCAGGUCAAGGUGCAGCAAAUGAAGUGGGAAGAGAUGGGCUACACUCUCUACAAUAGAAAAAACGAAAGACUACCUAUGAAACCUAGUUGGAAGGAG
rnacentral:rRNA from 1 species